CGCGGCCUAUCAGCUUGUUGGUGAGGUAACGGCUCACCAAGGCAUCGACGGGUAGCUGGUCUGAGAGGACGAUCAGCCACACUGGGACUGAGACACGGCCCAGACUCCUACGGGAGGCAGCAGUAGGGAAUCUUGCGCAAUGGGCGAAAGCCUGACGCAGCAACGCCGCGUGGGGGAUGAAUGCCUUCGGGUUGUAAACCCCUUUCAGCAGGGACGAAAAUGACGGUACCUGCAGAAGAAGCUCCGGCCAACUACGUGCCAGCAGCCGCGGUAAUACGUAGGGAGCGAGCGUUGUCCGGAAUUAUUGGGCGUAAAGAGCUCGUAGGCGGUUCAGUAAGUCGGGUGUGAAAACUCAAGGCUCAACCUUGAGACGCCACUCGAUACUGCUGUGACUUGAGUCCGGUAGAGGAGUGUGGAAUUCCUGGUGUAGCGGUGAAAUGCGCAGAUAUCAGGAGGAACACCAGCGGCGAAGGCGGCACUCUGGGCCGGUACUGACGCUGAGGAGCGAAAGCAUGGGGAGCAAACAGGAUUAGAUACCCUGGUAGUCCAUGCCGUAAACGUUGGGCGCUAGGUAUGGGAUCAUAUCAACGGAUUCCGUGCCGUAGCUAACGCAUUAAGUGCCCCGCCUGGGGAGUACGG
rnacentral:rRNA from 1 species